rnacentral:lncRNA from 1 species
UUAUUAUUAUUAUUAUUAUUAUUAUUAUUAUUGUUGUUAGGUGACCCACACCUUUUUUUCCAACCUCACAGAGUUUUAUAGUCCUACAUGUGGCUGUGCAGAGAUUGUGGUUCCUCUCACACAUCCAGAUCAAAUCCAGCACUCUUUACAGAGCAAGAGGUAUCUGUGAAAUUCAGUUGGAUUACAACAAUCCCUUUGGUCUCCAAAUAUAUGGGACUGCUUGAUAAUUUCUCAAACCAAAGAAAGGAGCAGCAGCCGCACAGAAGAUCACAUACAUCCUGUCAGUUAUGGCUCAGGUAUGUUAUCUAAAUUCACUGUCAUUUUAAAUCUGACAAUAAUUCAUAAUAGGUUAAAAUAAUAUUUCACCCAAAGAUGAAAAUUCGGUCAUCAUUUACUCAGCCUCAUGUCGUUGAACCUCUUACAUCUUUUUUUUUGUUGUUGUUGUUGCCUGAACUAAAAUUAUGCAUUUUGGCCAAUUUGUCCUGCGCUUUUUUUUGUGUACACAAUAAAAGUCAAUGGUGAAUUCCUGUUCUGAAUCUUCAAAUGUAACAUGUAAUUGUUUGAUGCUUUUGAAGCUUCAGAAGAGAAACUCACCCUUGACUGUCAUUUUAUCAUCAGAAAUGAGCAAGACAAACUGACCAAAUUUAGCAUUUUAUGUAAGGGAGUCUAAAAGAUAAAACAACUGAUAAUGAUUUUAUUUUGGUGAAUUAUCCCUUUAAAGCCUGGAGUAUAUACAGCAUAAGCUAAAAUGUUCAUAUGUGCAUAAUUCAUACUGUUUUAAUUUCAGGGCUUGUUUGUAGCUUUAUCAAAUUUCUCAGCAGCAGAGUUGUGUUUUUGCACCUACAAUUGGAACAACUCUGACAUCCAAGAUUACUGUGUAUCUUUCCCAUAGCAAAGUUUCUGAUUUAGGAACAUUUGUUGGGUUUUCUUGUACUGGUUCCCAGGAUUGAAAGUUUUGUAGAAACAACACAGUGGGAUGAUCUGUAUAAUACUACUUAAAAUGUUAGAUGUACAGUAACAAGUCUAAAAAGUCAAGUGCUAACUAAUGCUGUUCAUUUUACAUAUUCAGAAUGUCUCCAUUGGCAAAAAAUGUGAAUGCAUCCUGAAAGCCCUGGCUGUCUGCCUGAAGGAAGACCCCUCAAACCUUGUGAAGGAGUACAUGGUAGGUUAUUUACCUUUUUCAUUAAAACCUAGUGUAUGUUUCUCCAAAACCAACUUCUUUGACCCUUGAUCUGUUGGUAAUUGUUUCUUUUUUACAUUUUUAGGAUGUUGAACAUGUUGAAGCCCUAACCUCGACGCACAACACCACGCUGGGAAUCUAUGUCGUCAUACAGAUGCUACAGACCUUUACGAAUAAUGUUGUACUGUUGGCUGUUGCAGUACAUUUGUUUUUCGGUACUGAACAUGUUACAUUCCUUUCAACGUUGGUCUUGCUUUGAAUAAUUGAUGCAUUUUCAUUACAAAAGAAGACUAUUUUGUAAAUCCUACCUAAAAUCCAUGCUUUUAUUUUUUAUUAGUAUGCUUUUUUUUUUUUACACUUUUCUUG